GGCUGGAGGUGCCUUCCUUGCAGGAGAGACCAAGGUAGAAGAAGCAAGCAAUGACCCAAGGCGGUGCCAGGGCAGCUCCAGGAGCCAAGGGGAAGGGAGUAGGAACCACACAUGCAAACUCCAAAGCAUUUUAAGGAGGCUUUCCACUUGCAGAUAAGGAAGAAUGAUGAUCUCCUGGAAGAGGGGGAAUCUCACAAAUUGUAUGUACUUCAGGCAAAUAGGCAGAGUCCUUUCAAUGUGUCAUCUAUGAACGAAGAGGAGAUUCAUACCAUUCUCAGGAUGGCAGCCGUAUCCCGGGAGCGGUCAUACCAGGCCUGGACGCUGUUGAGGUGCUUCUUCCGGUUGUGGAGGUUGUCCUGGAAGGCGCACUCUCCAGAGUCGCAGAAGGACCGCUUCUAGAGGAGCAGUGCCAACACAGAGAUGAGUCAGUCCAUUAUCCUACAUUGAUCAGUACACGGAAAAGGUGAUAGCAUUCAUCAUCUGUCUUCUAUGGCAGGAAAAGACUGUGGAGAUGUAGCUUUCGGAGGUCACACUUAGAUGUUGGCCUAAAAACCUGGUCAUCGCCAGACUGGCCUUUCUACAUGCCUGUUCCCGGUGAUUGAAUAAAUAAGGUCUCAAUAAGAUUUCUGCUAUUUCUGGGAUAUAACUUCAGAAGACGACUAUGCACUUCUUCUCAUUCCCCAAAAUGUUUUGUGAAAAAGAUGAGGGAGGUUUAUUGGACAAUUGAGAAAAUAUCCUGGCUAGUUACCUUUAGUAUUUAGGCCUUAAAUAUCAAAGAGCCUUCACUUUUGUUCAUUUUACUGUUUUAUGAUGAGACCUCUUGAAAGGGAAAGAUGUAUUCCUUAUUCCCACCAGUUCUAACCUUUUCAACUGGGUAUAGUUGAAACAACUGAAAAUUUGUUUUUCUAGUCCAUAUAAUGAAGUUGCAUACACACAUGUAGUGCACGGAUGUGUACUCUUUUCCUAUUAUUUCUUUUUGCAGGUAUUCCAUGUAGAUUUUUAUCCUAGCUUUUAAAAUAAAAUUCAUCAAUCAAUUGUAAAGUGUUAAAACUUUAUAAUUUAGCAUAUUCUAUCAAUAAUUAACUUGUUAAAACAUCUUAGUAAUCUUAUCAGUACCAGCAGUACCACAGGCAUGAGCAAACUUCAGCCCUCCACAUGCUUUGAACUUCAACUCUCCCGAUUCCUAACAGCUGGAGUUGCCCAUGCUUGCCCUAGUAGGUUCCUUACUGAAGAUAGUUAUAAACAUUAUAAUUCAUCAUGGAGCUAGUGUAUUCAUGAAUUGCACUACUGCACAACUGAAUAUGCAGAUAAAUGUGAAAUGUUUGGUUGUAGUGAUCAAUGCACAUCUACACAAUGAAAUUGCAUGCACAAUUUUGCUUUUGCAAACAAAAUGUCCAACUAUGGGGGGAACCUGCCCAACACCUCCCUAAAUUUUAUAGCAUUGGAUAGGUGACAAAUUUGGGUCAUUACAGCCAGUUGGUGUUUUAGGAGUGGUAGAAAUUUUAGAGCUUGUGAGGAGAAGUAAAGCAAGGGCUGGAUUCACUCACGGGAAUGUGAGGAAGAAUGCCUACUAGGAGUGUGCAAAUCUUCAUUUUUAAAUUGUAAGUUGUAUCUAUUUCAUAAGUUUUGAAUAUGCAAACAUAUUAAGAAACACGGGUGAGGGUGGUGCAGAAAACGUAGGAAUCAAAACUCAUCCAAUGCUUUUUCAUUUAAAUUCUGUAAUGUUUAGAAGUUGUUGUUGUUGUUGUUGUUGUUAUUACCCCCACUUUAUCUCUCUCCUAUCUUCAGCCACCAACCUCCAACCCUCAUAAUCUCAACACAGGAUUACUACAAAUUUAGAGGCAAUGGUCUCCUCAGCUAACACACCCCAAUUACAGUGAAUCUGUGGUUAAUCCUGAGACAUUGAUUCUGUUAACACUUAAAAAAUGCUGAGUAAUUUACACAUUCUGACAGUGUUCUUGCUUGAGCUAUAGAACCCCAUUUUUCUUGCUCUGUAUGACUUAUCUAUAAGAUCAAUGCAGUAGGUUUUGCUUCCUGACCUGAAGGACAAAAUAGGCAGUCUUCCAUUUUAUCUCUAUCAAAACUCAUUGGGCUGACAGUUGAGCCUUAAUUCAACACUGACCUUGAGAUGAGGUCCUCCAUGAUACCCGAGGAGGCUUAGCAAGUGCAUGGCAUGCUCAGUAUAUCAAACUGCAAGUCCCAUCAGCAGAGGAGAAAGGUCAGAAAGCUAAAGUAAGAACAGCUGGGAUGGGAAAGCUGCAAUCUGAGAUGCUUGACUUACUCUGCUCUAGUUGUAGUGCCAGGCCAACUUUGCUUAUCUGAGAGUAUGACACUCGACACACUGGCUCCGGAUCUAUCACCUUUUUAUUUUCAGGAAGCUUUAACAUAAGAUGCAUUGUCAUUCUUUAUAAAACAUGGGCAUUAAAUAUAUAGUGCAUGCUGAUGUACAGCAAGCUCAAAAUAUAUGGUUCUCAAUGAUCACUCCCCCCAACCCUUUCAACAAGAGAAGAGAAAAUAACAGUGGUACCCAGAAGAAAAAUAUAGUUUUCUGUAUAGAGAAGAUUCUUGAAAUGUUGAUGUCAAGAUAACACAGGAAAUACGUUCUACUCAGGAUUAUUACUAUUACCAGCUGAGAGGAGGGAGAAAUACUAUAACGUUAUAUUCCUAGGCAAGUAAUGCAAUAAAGAUUUGCUUUUCAGGAAAUGACUUCAGUUAUAUUGCAACAUUGCUAUAUCUGAAAGGUAGAGGAAAGAGGAAAAUAUUGAUUCGUAUUUUCAGAGUUUACAGGAGCAAUAUGUGCAGGAUCUAAUCUUCAUAUAAGUAUGCUGAAAAGAGAUUUCUUUAACUAAAUACACACAUAUACACACACUUUAAACAAGUUUUUACAAACCCUGGAACAGGGAAAACUAUUACCACAAUGAUAUUUAAUUGUAUAUCAGCUUGCUUGUAAACAUCUAUACAG
rnacentral:lncRNA from 11 species